AGCAGAAGAAAGAGGCCCAGAGAGCAACAGUGGCGGGUCUGCAGUCACACAGCCAACUUGCGCUUGUGGCAGUGGCAAGGUUGGUGAGUAUCUGAGUCUUCAGGCCACGGCAUUUUCCCCUUGAGUGGAGCCUGGUAAGUGGCCUCUAUUUCUAGUACAUUCUCUGGGAGCCCCCAGUAUUUUCCAGACAGAGGGCACUGAAGACAGGCUUUGUGCUGAGGCUGGGUCACCUGAGGUCCAGCUGCUCCCCGUACUCCUCCAGGGAAGGGCUGGGACCCCUUCUUCUGCGGCUGCCCCUAAAAGGACAGAUUGUUGCUUCUGUGGGAUGAGGAGAGGCAAUGUGGCAUGGUGGUUAAGCACGUGGACUUGGAGCCAGACGGCCUGGGGCUGAAUCCUGGCUCUGCCUCUCACCAACUGUGACCUUGGGCAAGGAAGCUGGUUCAGUGGGGCUGUCGACCACAGGUACCAACCCUGCCCUCCCCUACAGAGUAUGUGACACAGGCACAGCCAAUCACUGCAUCCCAGUGCUUGGACCAGUCACAGUGUCAAGGGUGCAGUGGCUCACACCUGUAAUCCCAGCACUUUGGAGUCCCAGGCAGGCAGAUCGCCUGAAGUCGGGAGUUUGAGACCAGCCUGGGUGAAACCCCAUCUCUAAUAAAAGUACAAAAAAUUA
rnacentral:lncRNA from 1 species